rnacentral:tRNA from 1 species
GGAGAGGUCGCCUAGCUGGCUCAGGGCAGCGGUUUGCUAAACCGCCGGGUGCUGAAAGGUGUCCACGUGAGUUCGAAUCUCACCCUCUCCG